rnacentral:rRNA from 1 species
AGCGGGGCGGCAGGGUUGCCUGGCGCCGCCGGCGACCGGCGCACGGGUGAGUAACACGUAUGCAACCUGCCCGUGGCAGGGGGAUAAGCGGGGGAAACCCCGUCUAAUACCGCGUAACGCGGCCUAGGGACAUCCCAAGGCCGCCAAAGGGAGCAAUCCCGGCCACGGAUGGGCAUGCGGCGCAUUAGCUAGUCGGCGGGGUAACGGCCCACCGAGGCGACGAUGCGUAGGGGUUCUGAGAGGAAGGCCCCCCACACUGGUACUGAGACACGGACCAGACUCCUACGGGAGGCAGCAGUGAGGAAUAUUGGUCAAUGGGCGCGAGCCUGAACCAGCCAAGUCGCGUGAGGGAGGACGGCCCUACGGGUUGUAAACCUCUUUUGCCGGGGAGCAACGGGCGCCACGUGUGGCGCCACUGAGAGUACCCGGAGAAAAAGCAUCGGCUAACUCCGUGCCAGCAGCCGCGGUAGUACGGAGGAUGCGAGCGUUAUCCGGAUUUAUUGGGUUUAAAGGGUGCGUAGGCGGAUCGUUAAGUCAGUGGUCAAAUUGAGGGGCUCAACCCCUUCCCGCCAUUGAAACUGGCGAUCUUGAGUGGAAGAGAAGUAUGCGGAAUGCGUGGUGUAGCGGUGAAAUGCAUAGAUAUCACGCAGAACCCCGAUUGCGAAGGCAGCAUGCCGGCUUCCUACUGACGCUGAAGCACGAAAGCGUGGGGAUCGAACAGGAUUAGAUACCCUGGUAGUCCACGCGGUAAACGAUGAGCGCUAGGUGCCCGGGGGGAAUGGCCCCUGGGUGCCACA